GUGAAUAUGAACUUUACUGUCAGAUGAACAUUGAAAGUGAAGAUUUUCCUUGGUCAAGAGUGCAACCGGCCACAUGCAUGAGCUGCUGUGGAUAUGAACUUUACUGUCAGAGCAAAAUUGGAAGUGAACAACAUUUCUGCAGAGAGAUUUUCCUUGGUCAAGAGUGCAACC